UGUUUGCAAUCCAAAACGUAACUAUGUUUCAUUUAAAGUGACUUGAUUCAAUUCUAUUUUGUUCCUCUAAGGAACUAGAUUCGGUUUGUAUAAAUUGACUCACCUGCAGCUAUUACGACUGGAUUUCACCACUUAAUUCUACACCGCACAGAUGAAUCUUCUUUUCUCAUCCUUCCCCGUCCUUGUCCUCGUGUACAUUCAUGCGAGUGUGAAGGUAUUCACGAGGACUUCCUAUUCAUUGUUUUUUUUUCGCAAACUGUUUGGCGGUUUGUUCCAUCACUUCACAGCUCAGGUGCCUUAGUAUUUGAAACAACCCUCCAAGCUUCCGUGGAAAGAGAGCAGCGUCUACCGUCGCAUCUUAAGUCCUUAAGGUCAGUCAUUUUAAUUGUCGAUAGUGU
rnacentral:lncRNA from 1 species